AACCCCAAUGUGAACGUUACCAAUCUGUUGCCUCGGCGGGAUUCUCUGCCCCGGGCGCGUCGCAGCCCCGGAUCCCAUGGCGCCCGCCGGAGGACCAACUCAAACUCUUUUUUCUCUCCGUCGCGGCUUCCGUCGCGGCUCUGUUUUACCUUUGCUCUGAGCCUUUCUCGGCGACCCUAGCGGGCGUCUCGAAAAUGAAUCAAAACUUUCAACAACGGAUCUCUUGGUUCUGGCAUCGAUGAAGAACGCAGCGAAAUGCGAUAAGUAAUGUGAAUUGCAGAAUUCAGUGAAUCAUCGAAUCUUUGAACGCACAUUGCGCCCGCCAGUAUUCUGGCGGGCAUGCCUGUCCGAGCGUCAUUUCAACCCUCGAACCCCUCCGGGGGGUCGGCGUUGGGGAUCGGCCCCUCACCGGGCCGCCCCCGAAAUACAGUGGCGGUCUCGCCGCAGCCUCUCCUGCGCAGUAGUUUGCACACUCGCACCGGGAGCGCGGCGCGGCCACAGCCGUAAAACACCCCAAACUCUGAAAUGUUGACCUCGGAUCAGGUAGGAAUACCCGCUGAACUUAAGCAU
rnacentral:rRNA from 1 species